CUUUUCAGAGUAGGUAAAAAAAUACUCUUUGAAUGCAUCAGUGUAGCCGGCGUGCAGCCCAGGACAUCAAGGGCAUCACAGACCCUGUUAUUGCCUACAACUUCCAUCCGUGAAAAACGAAUAGUACCUCUAAGAAGUUUAUCCAUCUCCUUUCAAAGAAAAUAAAUAAAACUAGUUAGCAGGAAAAGGUCUCGUUCGUUAACGGAAUUAACCAGACAAAUCACUCCACCAACUAAGAACGGCCAUGCACCACCACCCAUUCAAUCAAGAAAGAGCUAUCAAUCUGUCAAUCAUAAAAAUGUCCGGACCUGGUAAGUUGCCCCGUGUUGAGUCAAAUUAAGCCGCAGGCUCCACUCCUGGUGGUGCCCUUCCGUCAAUUCCUUUGAGUUUCAGACUUGCGACCAUACUCCCCCCAGAACCCAAAAGCUUUGGUUUCCCGGAAAAAAAGGAUGUACGAUUAUAAAAUCCAAUACACCAUCUCUUAGAUGGCAUCGUUUAU
rnacentral:rRNA from 1 species